UAAACCUGGUUGAAAUGUCAAAUUCAAGCAAGUCUAGGCAUGAGUAAUAAACAUGAUCUUGGAACAUCUGCUGUUUUCAAAGUCAUAAGAUCAUAUCUCUGUAACAAUAUCCUUGGCUAACUUCAGAAAACAGAGGAAUAUUGACAUAACAGGACCAGGUAAGAUUGCAUUGCAUUUGAUAAUCAUGUUACAAAAUGUUUCAUCCAAUGGGAGACUAGUAUUUCAUUUAGCAGUUGCAUGAAAAUCACAACUUUUGUAUAUAAAUAUUAUCUUAAUAUUCUAUUUUU
rnacentral:lncRNA from 1 species